rnacentral:rRNA from 1 species
CAGAGGGUGCAAGCGUUAAUCGGAAUUACUGGGCGUAAAGCGUGCGUAGUCGGUUAUCUAAGUCGGAUGUGAAAUCCCCGGGCUCAACCUGGGAAUUGCAUUCGAUACUGGAUAGCUAGAGUUCGGCAGAGGGAAGCGGAAUUUCUGGUGUAGCGGUGAAAUGCGUAGAUAUCAGAAGGAACAUCAGUGGCGAAAGCGGCUUCCUGGACCAGAACUGACGAUCAGGCACGAAAGCGUGGGGAGCAAACAGGAUUAGAUACCCUGGUAGUCCACGCCAUAAACGAUGACAACUAGACGUUGGGGACAUAUGGUCCACAGUGUCGCAGCUAACGCGUUAAGUUGUCCGCCUGGGGAGUACGGCCGCAAGGUUG